rnacentral:snRNA from 1 species
GUGAUUGCUUCAACAGCACAUACACUAAAACCGGAGCAGUACAGAGAUUAGCAUGGCCUCAGUGCAAGGAUGAUACACAAAUUCAUGAAGCAUUCCAUAUUAUA